GACGGAGGAUGCAAGCGUUAUCCGGAAUCACUGGGCGUAAAGCGUCUGUAGGUGGUUUAAAAAGUCCACUGUUAAAAAUUGAAGCUUAACUUCAAAGAUGCCGUGGAAACUUUUAAACUUGAGGAUGAUAGGGGUAGAGGGAAUUUCCAGUGGAGCGGUGAAAUGCGUAGAUAUUGGAAAGACCACCAAUGGCGAAGGCACUCUACUGGGCCAUUACUGACACUGAGAGACGAAAGCUAGGGGAGCGAAUGGG
rnacentral:rRNA from 1 species